rnacentral:ncRNA from 1 species
AAUAAAGUUUUGAUUAGAAAAAGUAACUGAAUUUGAAUGAAAAGAGAACUCUGGUGGUGAGAAUGAGUGAUUCGAUUCGGUGAACACACAUCUAUGAACUAAUUGGUUGAACCAAGUAGGCCAAUUCGCAUGUUUAGCGUUAUCAGGGUUGCCCCAAGUCUUACUGAAGUGUUUUCAGAUGAGUACUUGGUGGCAGCGUAAGGCUGUUUAUCGUGAGGUAGCAGCAAAUUGAGGUGGUACCGCGAUCAAAACUCGUCCUCGAA